AGAGUUUGAUCCUGGCUCAGGAUGAACGCUGGCGGCGUGCCUAAUACAUGCAAGUCGAACGAGGCCCUUUGUAUUCGUACGAAGGUGUCCUAGUGGCGAACGGGUGAGUAACACGUAGGUGACCUACCCCGAAGUGGGGGACAACCCCGGGGAACCGGGGCUAAUACCCCAUGACCUCCAGGGAGUUAGAGGACCCUGGAGAGAAGGAUGCUAUGCAUUCGCUUUGGGAGGGGCCUGCGGCCCAUCAGCUAGUUGGUAAGGUAACGGCCUACCAAGGCUACGACGGGUAGGGGGCCUGAGAGGGCGGUCCCCCACACUGGCACUGAAACACGGGCCAGACACCUACGGGUGGCAGCAGUAGGGAAUAUUGCCCAAUGGACGAAAGUCUGAGGCAGCAACGCCGCGUGCGCGAUGAAGGCCUUCGGGUUGUAAAGCGCUUUUCUGGGGGAAGAGGAAGGACGGUACCCCAGGAAUAAGUCCCGGCUAACUACGUGCCAGCAGCCGCGGUAAAACGUAGGAGGCAAGCGUUAUCCGGAUUUACUGGGCGUAAAGCGCGUGUAGGCGGUUUGGUAAGUCGGACGUGAAGGUUCCCGGCUCAACUGGGAGAAGCCGUUCGAAACUACCAGACUAGAGGGCAAUAGAGGGAGGUGGAAUUCCAGGUGUAGCGGUGAAAUGCGUAGAUAUCUGGAGGAACACAGUGGCGAAGCGGCCUCCUGGAUUGUCCCUGACGCUCAGACGCGAAAGCUAGGGUAGCAAACGGGAUUAGAAACCCCGGUAGUCCUAGCCGUAAACGAUGCAGACUUGGUGUUGGUGGUUUAAUCGCCAUCAGUGCCGUAGCUAACGCGGUAAGUCUGCCGCCUGGGGACUACGGCCGCAAGGCUAAAACUCAAAGGAAUUGACGGGGGCCCGCACAGCAGCGGAGCGUGUGGUUUAAUUCGAUGCACGCGAAGACCUUACCAAGCUUGACAUGUUGGAAGUAGCACCGGAAAGGAGCGACCUGUUGAGUCAGGAGCCAGCACAGUGCUGCAUGCUGUCGUCAGCUCGUGC
rnacentral:rRNA from 1 species